rnacentral:rRNA from 1 species
AGCAUGAACUUAGCUUGCUAAGUUUGAUGGCGACCGGCGCACGGGUGAGUAACACGUAUCCAACCUUCCGUUUACUCAGGGAUAGCCUUUCGAAAGAAAGAUUAAUACAAGAUGGCAUCAUGAGUCCGCAUGUUCACAUGAUUAAAGGUAUUCCGGUAGACGAUGGGGAUGCGUUCCAUUAGAUAGUAGGCGGGGUAACGGCCCACCAAGGCGACGAUCAGUAGGGGUUCUGAGAGGAAGGUCCCCACAUUGGAACUGAGACACGGUCCAAACUCC